ensembl:lncRNA
AGGUGGCAUACUUCUAACCCUUAAGAUGUGCAAUCUGUAUGCAGUAACUGCCAGUGCCCUUAUUAGAUGAUCUAAAAGGAAUAGAAAUACAAGGAAGUCUGGAUGAUACACAAGGAGGAUACACCCACCAUGCUGAGGAUGGCUUGCCAGUGAAAUCUGGUUGAAAGCAGAAAAGUGCCUUGGAGGAGUCUAAACAGGCACCUGUUGUUGUUCUUGUGGCUUCUGAGUGCAGCUGGGAAAUACUCCUGCUCUGUGAGAUACUGAGCACAGGAUUGUGGCUCUUGUUAUCCAAGCCUGCUCAAAAAGAAAAACAAGCAAGUUGUCAGAGACACCUUUCCCUUUUUCUUUCUUUCUUUCUUUCUUUUUCUUUUUUUUUUUAAUUAGUUAUUAUUAGCUACUGUAAUUAUUACAAUUACCUCUAAUAAUCAUCAGUAGUCUUCUGACUAGAACAAAGAAAAUCCUUCUUGGGCUUUCACACAGAGAAUGGCUUAGUAGAACAGAUUUGAUCAAUUUGUCUCUACUUCCUUGUCUUAACAAAGCACUGUGCUUAGUUAAGCAGUGUUUAUAGAAGGCUGGGAUCCUGGGAUGAAUGCAGCCAAAUAGAUGUUGAAGAUAUUUCAGAAGGAGAGAAGUACUUCUACUUUGAAUGGGUGGUGUUCUUUACUGUGUACAUCAGGAAGAUGAGUGGGACAAAUAAUAGCACAAUAAGAAGACAGCUUUGAGAAGAGUGGCAAGGAACAGGCCUCAACAAAGCUAAGAUUUUCUCCUCUCUGCCUGACUUUACAAAAGAUGGUAGCCAGGGACUGUAAUUAUAUUCAUAUAUGUUUUCUGUUUGUGUCUUAUUUGUGAGUCCUCACUAAAAAGUUUGUAUAUAUGAAAUGAACCUUAUCCAUAAUUUGUUUCUGUUUGCUCAUCUGUGGCAAAUAAGUCUUUUGUAGACUAAUGGAGAUUAAAUAAUACAGUUCACAGCACUGAAUGCUACCUGAUGAGGAAUAGUUUCAGUAUUAACUAUAUAAUAAAUAUAAUUCAAUAGGAUUAGAUCUAGUUGCAUAAAGAGUCAUUAGUACCAGGAAUUAAUUAUUAGAGCACGAAAGCCUGUAUUAGAUUUACUAGGAGAGAAGCAGGAUAAUGUAUCAUUAGUGUAGAUGUGGUUCAUACUUGUAGUGCAACUUUGCGCUUUUGUUGGAAAAAGAGAGACACUUUGUCUCUACGGAUGGAAAACUCCCUAAUAAAUUGAUUCUU